GAUGAACGCUGGCGGCGUGCUUAACACAUGCAAGUCGAACGGAAAGGCACUGAUUUUGUGCGGUGCUCGAGUGGCGAUCGGGUGAGUGUCACGUGUGUAUCCUGCCCUUGUCUUUCGGAUAACUUCAGGAAACUGGGGCUAAUAUAGGAUAGCAGCUCAUGCUGCAUGGUGGGCGUUGGAAAGUUUCGGCGGUUGGGGAUGGACUAGCGGCUUAUCAGCUUGUUGGUGGGGUAGUGGAUUACCCAGGCUUGGGCGGGUAGCCGGCCUGAGAGGGGGACCGGCCACAAGAGGACUGAGAGACGGCGCAGACGGGAAUGGGAGGCAACGGUGGAGAGUAUGACACAGCGGGCGGGAGCCAGUGGCGGAGGCGCCGCGUUCGGAAAGACGUCCUGUGGGUUGUGAACCGCUGUCGCCUGAGACGAAGCGGUAGUGACGGUAACGGAUAAAGAAGCACCGGCUAACUACGUG
rnacentral:rRNA from 1 species